GAUUCUGGCUCAGGAUGAACGCUAGCUACAGGCUUAACACAUGCAAGUCGAGGGGCAGCGAGAAGGAAGCUUGCUUCUUGUCGGCGACCGGCGCACGGGUGAGUAACGCGUAUCCAACCUUCCCCUUAGUAGGGCAUAGCCCGUAGAAAUGCGGAUUAAUACCCUAUGUUGUUCAAUGCGGACAUCUAAGUUGAACCAAAGGUUUACCGCUAAGGGAUGGGGAUGCGUCCGAUUAGGCAGCAGGCGGGGUAACGGCCCACCUGGCCGACGAUCGGUAGGGGUUCUGAGAGGAAGGUCCCCCACAUUGGAACUGAGACACGGUCCAAACUCCUACGGGAGGCAGCAGUGAGGAAUAUUGGUCAAUGGGCGCGAGCCUGAACCAGCCAAGUAGCGUGCAAGGACGACGGCCCUAUGGGUUGUAAACUGCUUUUAUGCGGGGAUAAAGUGCGGCACGUGUGCCGUUUUGUAGGUACCGCAUGAAUAAGGACCGGCUAAUUCCGUGCCAGCAGCAGC
rnacentral:rRNA from 1 species